UGGAUAGCUCAGUUGGUUUGAGCGUGGUGCCGAUAACACCAAGGUUGCAGGUUCAAUCCCUUAUGGGGCAG